ACUGCAGCAGUCAGAUCUUCCUAUUUAGGCAGCAAGAUUUCAAGAAGAUGCACUUGCCUCUUCUGCAUUCAGCAUUCAAAAUUCAAACGAAGGCUCCACCUAAAAAGGAAAUACUGGACAGAUUAUCUUUCCCUUCUGCACAUCCAUCCGCGCGCACACCUUCCUUCUGAAGAGCAUGCCGCGCGCCACCUUCCUUCUGAAGAGCUUGCAACGCGAUUCUUUCCUUUUCAUACACAACUUGGGC
rnacentral:lncRNA from 1 species